UACGUAGGUGGCAAGCGUUGUCCGGAUUUAUUGGGCGUAAAGAGCGUGUAGGCGGCCAGACAGGUCCGUUGUGAAAACUCGAGGCUCAACCUCGAGACGCCGAUGGAAACCGUCUGGCUAGAGUCCGGAAGAGGAGAGUGGAAUUCCUGGUGUAGCGGUGAAAUGCGCAGAUAUCGGGAGGAACACCAAUUGCGAAGGCAGCUCGCUGGGACGUUACUGACGCUGAGACGCGAAAGCGUGGGGAGCAAACAGG
rnacentral:rRNA from 1 species